UUUAAAUUGAGAGUUUGAUCCUGGCUCAGGAUGAACGCUGGCGGCGUGCUUAACACAUGCAAGUCGAGCGAUGAAGUUU
rnacentral:rRNA from 1 species